rnacentral:rRNA from 1 species
GAUGAACGCUGGCGGCGUGCCUAAUACAUGCAAGUCGAGCGGUAACACUUCGGGUGACGAGCGGCGGACGGCUGAGUAACGCGUAGGAACAUACCCCAAACUGAGGGAUAAGCACCGGAAACGGUGUCUAAUACCGCAUGUGGUCUUCGGAUUAAAGCUUCGGCGGUUUGGGAAUGGCCUGCGUCCGAUUAGCUUGUUGGUGAGGUAAAAGCUCACCAAGGCGACGAUCGGUAGCUGGUCUGAGAGGAUGAUCAGCCAGACUGGGACUGAGACACGGCCCAGACUCCUACGGGAGGCAGCAGUAGGGAAUUUUCCACAAUGGGCGAAAGCCUGAUGGAGCAACGCCGCGUGCAGGAUGAAGGCCUUCGGGUUGUAAACUGCUUUUAUCUGUGAAGAUUAUGACGGUAGCAGAUGAAUAAGGAUCGGCUAACUCCGUGCCAGCCGCCGCCACAC